CUUCUGCCAAACCCAAUUUUU
rnacentral:rRNA from 1 species